UCCCUGGUGGUCUAGUGGUUAAGACUCUGUGCUUCCAAUGCAGGGGGCCCAGGUUCAAUCACUGGUUGGGGAA
rfam:TPA: Bos taurus chromosome 23, whole genome shotgun sequence.